UACGUAGGGUGCAAGCGUUUGUCCGGAAUUAUUGGGCGUAAAGAGCUCGUAGGCGGUUUGUCGCGUCUGCUGUGAAAACUCAGGGCUUAACCCUGAGCCUGCAGUGGGUACGGGCAGACUAGAGUGCGGUAGGGGAGACUGGAAUUCCUGGUGUAGCGGUGAAAUGCGCAGAUAUCAGGAGGAACACCGGUGGCGAAGGCGGGGUCUCUGGGCCGUAACUGACGCUGAGGAGCGAAAGCGUGGGGAGCGAACAGG
rnacentral:rRNA from 1 species